GACGAACGCUGGCGGCGUGCUUAACACAUGCAAGUCGAACGGAAAGGCCCUGCUUGCAGGGUACUCGAGUGGCGAACGGGUGAGUAACACGUGGGUGAUCUGCCCUGCACUUCGGGAUAAGCCUGGGAAACUGGGUCUAAUACCGGAUAGGAGCCAUUUUUAGUGUGAUGGUUGGAAAGUUUUUUCGGUGUAGGAUGAGCUCGCGGCCUAUCAGCUUGUUGGUGGGGUAAUGGCCUACCAAGGCGGCGACGGGUAGCCGGCCUGAGAGGGUGGACGGCCACAUUGGGACUGAGAUACGGCCCAGACUCCUACGGGAGGCAGCAGUGGGGAAUAUUGCACAAGGGGCGCAAGCCUGAUGCAGCGACGCCGCGUGGGGGAUGACGGCCUUAGGGUUGUAAACUCCUUUCGCUAGGGACGAAGCUUUUUGUGACGGUACCUAGAUAAGAAGCACCGGCUAACUACGUG
rnacentral:rRNA from 1 species